rnacentral:rRNA from 1 species
UACGUAGGGGGCAAGCGUUGUCCGGAAUCACUGGGCGUAAAGCGCGCGCAGGCGGCGAUCUACGUCCGGGGUGAAAGCCCAGAGCUCAACUCUGGGACUGCCUUGGAUACGGGAUCGCUUGAGGAUCGGAGAGGCAAGGGGAAUUCCACGUGUAGCGGUGAAAUGCGUAGAGAUGUGGAGGAACACCUGUGGCGAAGGCGGCAUCCUGGACCGGUAUUGACGCUGAGGAGCGAAAGCCAGGGGAGCAAACGGG